AACGAACGCUGGCGGCAGGCCUAACACAUGCAAGUCGAGCGAAGCCUUCGGGCUUAGCGGCGGACGGGUGAGUAACGCGUGGGAACGUGCCCUUUGCUACGGAAUAGCCCCGGGAAACUGGGAGUAAUACCGUAUGUGCCCUUCGGGGGAAAGAUUUAUCGGCAAAGGAUCGGCCCGCGUUGGAUUAGGUAGUUGGUGGGGUAAUGGCCUACCAAGCCGACGAUCCAUAGCUGGUUUGAGAGGAUGAUCAGCCACACUGGGACUGAGCCACGGCCCAGACUCCUACGGGAGGCAGCAGUGGGGAAUCUUAGACAAUGGGGGAAACCCUGAUCUAGCCAUGCCGCGUGAUCGAUGAAGGCCUUAGGGUUGUAAAGAUCUUUCAGUGGGGAAGAUAAUGACUGUACCCACAGAAGAAGCCCCGGCUAACUCCGUGCCAGCAGCCGCGGUAACAC
rnacentral:rRNA from 1 species